rnacentral:lncRNA from 10 species
GGCCUGUGGCCCCUUCAGGAACAGGUAGAAAAUGUCCUAGAAAAACUAUAUGAACAAACAAGAAAUGUGAAAGCCCAUAUUUAACCCAGUUUCUGACCCAUGGGAGGAGUCACUCAUUAUUUGUUGAAUGAAGAAAUGAAUGAGUGUAUUAAGGAAUAAUGAAUAGAGCCACCAUUGCAGCCUACAGGACAAAACCAAGAUUCCCUUGCUGUUGCCGGAAGCACUCCGCCCUCUGAUCUCCAAUUCUCAAAUAAAUGGGGCAUUGAUCCAUUGCUCUGUGUGAGUUAAUGCCCUAGAAUUAUGCUUAUCUGCUUAUCUCCCUGGGUUCCUUCUUACAGACAAAUUUCUGUCUCAGUCUUUGGUGCCAGUAUAUGUAUUUUAUUUUCUAUUUUUUUUUUUUUUCUGGAAUGGAAUGUUUCACCACUGAACCACAGUGUUUCUGAGACUUAUUAUCUUUGCGAUCCUUUCAAUUUCUUCAUGCUUUCCCUCAACUUCCUGAAAUCCUGUAGUUUAUCAGUGACUUGGAACAUUAUUAACUGCUUUGUAGGAGGAGACUUGAUAAGCAUUCUUUAAAAGAUGAGGUUAAUUUUUCAUCUAGAGUUCUGAGAGGCUAUGGAGUAGGAAUAUUCAGGGUUUCCCUGAGCUGUGGGGCUCAGAACGAAGGAGAAAUAAAACCCACCUCCCAAGGGAAAAAAUAGGCUUAGCAAGAAAGGGCUUGUGGAAAAGGUCUGCCGCUGAAGUCAUGAGACAGAACAGAUGAAUUUGGGAAGUGGGACAUUGGAUAUCACCUGGUCUAGCAGGAGACAAGACAGGAGACUUGUAAAAUGUUACAGAGUAGACCCAAGAAAGAGAAAGAAGUAUUAGUGAGGUACAUUUGGUUAGUGGCAUUUAUAGGAUGUUAAUUGUCAGCACUUCCUAUGCUUGAAAAAAAUAGAGAUUUGGAGGGUUGAAACACUUUUGCCAGUAUACUAAUACGCUGCUUUGUAAUUUAUCUCCAACAUUUGUCUUUAAUUCAGGUCUUUGCUUCUAUCAUAACUUGUAGCUUGACCAGAUAGCCAUUUCCAAAGUAUCACUCCUAUUCUCUGCCCAAUCCUACAACAGUUCCAACUCCAUUUAUAGCUUAUGACUAGAAACAUGUUUUAACAGAAAUAAAAAUGCAGAUUUUUAUAGUUUAUUUCAGUGAUCUUUCUGAGAAGCGUAAAAGCAAAAUUAAAAAACAAAGGCAAAUAUAUGGAAAAUUUAUCAGUAGAAAAUACAAAGGAGAACAUAAAAACAGUGGUGUUUCUUUAGAAUGAUUGGAGUAUGGAAAUAUGGGUAAAAGUAACUGAUUAGAAUCUCUGUCAAACUACUAAUGAUUAUCAUAUUAACCAGUUUGGGACAUAUAUCUAUUUAUGACCAUC